rnacentral:rRNA from 1 species
AUUGAACGCUGGCGGCAGGCCUAACACAUGCAAGUCGAGCGGAUGAAGGGAGCUUGCUCCUUGAUUCAGCGGCGGACGGGUGAGUAAUGCCUAGGAAUCUGCCUGGUAGUGGGGGAUAACGUCCGGAAACGGGCGCUAAUACCGCAUACGUCCUGAGGGAGAAAGUGGGGGAUCUUCGGACCUCACGCUAUCAGAUGAGCCUAGGUCGGAUUAGCUAGUUGGUGGGGUAAAGGCCUACCAAGGCGACGAUCCGUAACUGGUCUGAGAGGAUGAUCAGUCACACUGGAACUGAGACACGGUCCAGACUCCUACGGGAGGCAGCAGUGGGGAAUAUUGGACAAUGGGCGAAAGCCUGAUCCAGCCAUGCCGCGUGUGUGAAGAAGGUCUUCGGAUUGUAAAGCACUUUAAGUUGGGAGGAAGGGCAGUAAGUUAAUACCUUGCUGUUUUGACGUUACCAACAGAAUAAGCACCGGCUAACUUCGU